rnacentral:rRNA from 1 species
UACCUGCAGCUCGAGUGGUAACCGCUAUUAUUGGGCCUAAAGCGUCCGUAGCCGGUUUGGUAAAUAUCUGGGUAAAUCGUGAGGCUUAACUUCACGAAUUUCGGAUAGACUGCCAGACUUGGGAUCGGGGGAGGUCAGAGGUACUCCAGGGGUGGCGGUGAAAUGUUGUAAUCCUUGGAGGACCACCGGUAGCGAAGGCGUCUGACUAGAACGAGUCCGACGGUGAGGGACGAAGCCCUGGGGACGCAAACCGGAUUAGAUACCCGGGUAGUCCAGGGUGUAAACAAUGUGGGCUUUGUAUUGGAGGUCCCACGUGGGCGUCCAGUGCAGAAGAGAAGUUGUUAAGCCCACCGCCUGGGAAGUACGGUCGCAAGGCUGAAACUUAAAGGAAUUGGCGGGGAGCACAGCAACGGGAGGAGCGUGCGGUUU